rnacentral:lncRNA from 1 species
CAAGAUAGGUUGAAAGGGGAGUUCGUAGUCAUCUCUUCUAAUCAGGAGAUCCCUGAAAGCCGAACAUUUAAAUGUUCUCUUCUUGAAAUAAAAAUACCAUAGUUUUAGUUAGGAAUGUGCUAUGUUGAAAAUAACAGAAAAACUGACCUCUGUGGCUUAAACAAGUAAGGAUUUAUUUUCCUUCCGUAGCUGGAGGAAGGGAGGUGCAGCUUUGGCUCAGCUCUUAACAGUGCAACAUCUAGUGCCUCUAUAGUUCUCUUGGACACAGAUGGCUGCUUUCGAAGAAGAAAUAAGUGGAAAGUGAUGGAGUUUCUAUGCUCCAGCUCUCUUUGCCUGCUGCCAUCCACGUAAGAUGUGACUUGCUCCUCUUUGCCUUCUGCCAUAAUUGUGAGCCCCCCUCAGCCAUGUGGAAUGGCCUACAGCCAAGCCAUUGAGAGACAAGUCCAUGGGAGACAAAUUAGCUCAUGCAGCUGAGAUGUCCUGGAGAUUUUCCACAGCACCACUUGGCCAGUGCCUAGACAAGAGGCCAUCUUUGAAGAAGUAAACAAGUACCAUACAAAAGGGAUGACAGAACAACCAAACAGAAGGCUUCCGAGGCGAUCCGGCAGCAUCAGUCUUCAGCCGCUAAGCCAAGAAGAUCUGGGAAGGAGUCAAUCAGAGAGCCUUGGGCCAGAGUUCCAGGGGCUGUGGAAGUGGCUGCCAGGCUGUGGUGACUCAACCUGUAAUCCCAGCACUUUGGGAGGCUGAGGUGGCAGAUCACUUGAGCUCAGGAGUUCGAGAGCAGCCUGGCAAAACCCCGUGACUACAAAAAAAUAUGAAAAUUAGCCAGGCAUGGUGGCGCACACCUGUAGUCCUAGCUACUUGGGAGGCUGAGGUGGGAGGAUUGCGUGAGCUCAGGAGGUUAAGGCUGCAGUGAGCUGAGAUCGCACCACCACACUUCGGUCUGGGUGACAGAGUGAGAUCCUGUCUCAAAAAACAAAAUAAAAUAUAACAAAACUGGUAUAAACAUUCAUAGGUAGGUUUUUGUAUGGAUUUGGUAUGAUUUUUAUUGUUAAAGUUUAGUUUUUAUGUUUUAGAGUUAUAUAUAUAUAUGAAUCAUUUAAUUUGUGUGCUUAUGUGUUUGGCUCCUUUUCCUCAGCAUAAUGUUUUAAGAUUCCUCUAUGCAUCAGUUGCAUAUAUCAGGAGUUUUUUCUUAUAGUUUAGUAAUAUUCCAUUAUAUGAAUAUAGUAUAAUUUCUUUAUCUCUUCAGCUGUUAAUGGACAUUUAGGGUGUUCAGUUUGGGGAUAUUUGAAAUGCUAUGAACGUUUUUGUACAGAUCUUAUGAUAGAUACAUUUUUAUUUUUCUUAUCAGAAUGAUAUUACUGAGUCAUGUGAUAUUUUUAUUUUUAACAUUAUGUAAACUGUUUUAAAUAGAACAAUUGUUUUCCAAAGUAGCUGUGCUAUUUAUACCUUCAGUCAAAAUAUACAAAAGUUUCUUGUUACUGCACACAAUCUCCAACAGAAAGGACUUAUGGUAAAUCUUUAACAAAUUUUAGUCAUUCUACUCCCUGUUGGUGGUAUUUUUUUGUGGUAUUUUUGAAAGAAAUUGACUUUUAUUGAGGUAUGAUUUACAUAUAAUUAAAUGACCACAUUAAGAGUACACUUUGAUAAGUUUUGCUAACUGUACAUAUCAAUGUAACCACCACAAUUGAAAAUUAGAUCAUUUUUAUCUUCUCAAAGUGUUCCUUUAGCUCUUCUGUAGACAGUCUUCCCCAGUCCUCAACACAGGCACCAAUGGAUAUGAAUUCAGUCAUUGUCGACUGGUGUUCUGCCUGUCCUAGAUGUCACGUAAAUGGAUUCAAAUAAAUGUGUGCUCUUGUGUCUGACUCCUUUUGUUCAGCGUGGUGCUUUUGAGAUUUAUCUGUGUCAUUUGGGGUAUCAGUAAUUCAUAUCUUUUAUUUCCAACUAGGGUUGUGUGAUUAUACCACAAUGUCUUUUGCAAAUUAGUUGUUUCGUUUUAUAUAUUUUAUAUGUAUCAGCAGUUUAUGAGUUAUAAAUAACUUUUCUUUAUAAAUUACCCAGUUUCAGAUAGUUCUUUGGUGGUGUUUUCCUGUUGCUGUACGUUCUAACACCUGAUAUUGUUGGUCUUACUUUUAGCCAUUUUAAUACUAGAUGCUCCCCGACUCACGAUGGGGUUAUGCCCCAAUAAAUCCAUUGUUAAGUUGAAAAUAUCACAAGUUGAAAAUGCAUUUUUAAUACACUUUAACUAUCAAACAUCAUAGCUUAGCCUAGCCUACCUUAAACAGGCUCACAACACUUACAUUAUUCUACACUUGAGCAAAAUCAUCUGGCAACACAGCAAACUGUAGAGUAUCUCUUGUUUACUCUGGUGAUCUUGUGGCUGACUGGAAGCCUUAGCUCCGUGCCACUGUCCAACAUCCCCAGAGGGUUUUCUACUGCUUUCUACUGAAUGUGUAUUGCUUUUGCACCAUUUUAAAGUAAAAAAAGUUAUAUGUCAAAUCAUCAAAAGUUGUUUUGAUGAGAUUUUCUGUUUGUGUAGUAAUAUUUCACUUUAGUUAUAAUUUCUGUAUACCUGACAGCCAAUUAUAUUUUGUAUGUUUAUAUUUAUUUACUUAUUUCAUACCUUCUUGUAUGAAAUUGUUGUCCAAAUUUUUUGUCCAGUUUCUAAAUCACAGUUUACUUUCUCAUUAUUAAUAUGUUUUUUAUUUUUAUUUUUUAUUAUAUUUGUUUUUAGACGGAGUCUCUUCUCUGUCGCCCAGGCUUGAGUGCAGUGGCGCGAUCUCUGCUCACUGCAAGCUCCGCCUCCUGGGUUCACGCCAUUCUCCUGCCUCAGCCUCCCGAGUAGCUGGGACUACAGGCGCCCGCCACCACGCCUGGCUAAGUUUUGUAUUUUUUUAGUAGAGACGGGGUUUCACCGUGGUCUACAUCUGACCUCGUGAUCUGCCCGCCUCGGCCUCCCAAAGUGCUGGGAUUACAGGCGUGAGCCACCGCACCCGGCCAAGUUUUUUCUUUUGUAAAAUUUGAAUAUAUAAGUCCCAUAUAAGGUCAAUUUAUUCUUUUUUCUCGCAUGGUUAGUGCUAUACAAGAUGAUAAAGAUAUAUGCCUACCUUUUCUUUUGUUAAGUUUAUAUUUCAGCUCAUAUGUUAAAUCUAUAAUCCAUUUUGAGUUAAUUUUGUAGAUGGGGUGAGGUAAGAAUAGAUACACAACUUUUAGGCUGAUAUUCAGUUGUCCUAGCACUAGUUUAUUGAAGAUAAUUUUUCCCCAUUAAAUGUCCUUGAACUUUUUCAAAAAAGCAAUUGACUAUAUGUGUUUGGGUGUUGAUACAGUUUGAGUCUGUGUCCCCACCCAAAUCAUGUCAAAUUGAAAUCCCCAGUGUUGGAGGUGGGGCCUGGUGGGGAGUGAUUGGUUCAUGGGGACAGAUUUUCCCUUUGGUGUUGUUGUUAUGACAGCGAGUGAGUUAUGAGAUCUGGUUGUUCAAAAGUGUGUAACAUCUCCCCACUCUCUCUUCCUCCUGCUCUGGCCAUGUAAGACGUGACUGCUUGCCCUUCACCUUCCGUCAUGGUUGAAAGUUUCCUGAGGUCUCCCCAAACAUGCUUCCCAUACAGCUUCCCAACUGUGAACAAAUGAAAUCUCUUUUCUUUAUAAAUUACCCAGUUUCAGGUAGUUCUUUAUAGUAGUGAGGGAACAGACUAAUACAGUUAUAUCCUGUUCCAUCUUUUUUCUAAUGCUUUGCUGCAUUGUCUUAUAACACAGCUUUAUAAUCUUAAAAUCAUAACCUGUAGGCCCUCAAAAUCUUUUCUUUUUAAAAAUUAUUUUGGCUAUUGAAGGUCCUUUGUGUUUCCGUAUAAAUUUGACAAUUGUCUGGUUGAUUUCCUCAAAAAUUCUUUUGGCUUCCAAAAUUUGAAAGCAGCCUAAGUGUUAUCAAGAGUUGAAUGGAUAAAUAAAAUGCAGUACAAAUACACAAUGGAGUACUAUUCAGCAAUAGAAAGAAUGAAAUCCUGUCAUUUGCAACAACAUGGAUGGAACUGGAGGUCAUUAUGUUAAGUGAAAUAAGCCAUACACAGAAAGACAAACUUCAUAUAUUCUCACUUUUUUUGCGAGAGCUAAAAAUUAAAACAAUUGAACUCAUGGAGAUGGAGAAUAGAUUGAUGGUUACCAGAGGCUUGGAAGGAUAGUGGGAGUGGGGAAUGUGGAUGGUUAAUGGGUACAAAAAUACAGUUUGAUAGGGUUAAUACCUGUUGAUACAACAACAUGGUAGCUACAGCCAACAAUAAUUUAUCGUACAUUUAAAAAUAACCAAAACAGUAUAAUUGAAAUAUUUGUAACACAAGGAAAAUGAUAAGUACCUGAGGUGACGGGUACCCUAUUUACCCUGAUGUGAUUAUUACACAUUGUAUGUCUGUAUCAAAAUACCUCAGGCACUGAUAAAUGCAUACUAUGUACCCAUAAAAAUCGAAAAUUAAAAAUUAAACAACA